rnacentral:rRNA from 1 species
UUGAGAGUUUGAUCCUGGCUCAGAACGAACGCUGGCGGCACGCCUAACACAUGCAAGUCGAGCGCUACCUUCGGGUGGAGCGGCGGACGGGUUAGUAACGCGUGGGAACAUACCCUUCUCUACGGAAUAGCCUCGGGAAACUGAGAGUAAUACCGUAUACGCCCUUCGGGGGAAAGAUUUAUCGGUGAAGGAUUGGCCCGCGUAAGAUUAGAUAGUUGGUGGGGUAACGGCCUACCAAGUCGACGAUCUUUAGCUGGUUUGAGAGGAUGAUCAGCCACACUGGGACUGAGACACGGCCCAGACUCCUACGGGAGGCAGCAGUGGGGAAUCUUAGACAAUGGGCGAAAGCCUGAUCUAGCGAUGCCGCGUGAGUGAUGAAGGUCUUAGGAUCGUAAAGCUCUUUCGCCAGGGAUGAUAAUGACAGUACCUGGUAAAGAAACCCCGGCUAACUCCGUGCCAGCAGCCGCGGUAAUACGG